rnacentral:lncRNA from 1 species
GUCACGUCCAGCGUAGAGAUGGUAUCCUUUAAAUGAGAAUAACUAGACUAGCACGUACCAUAAAAGAGCUUGUAACUAGCUGGUAAGGACUUUAUGUAAUUCUGAUUAAUUCUGUCUGCUUAGCCUGUCCACUAUAGUCUGCGAGAAUUAGCCUUUUCCUCUUUAGUGUGGAACGGAGGUAACCUUGGGUACCGUCUACCUGCUUUCCAAACUUCCAUCUCUGCUUUUGCACGUAGGCUCGUCUUAGCCGGAGCAGAAGCUGCUAGAGUCUUUCCCCCUCGCUGUACUUCCUAGACUCGGGGAAGCUCACCUGUGGGUGUUACUGGCUCAGUCCUGUCUGACUCUUUGCGACCCCAUGGACUGUAGCCCGCCAGGCUCCUCUGUCCAUGGAAUUCUCCAGGCAAGAACACUGAAGUGGGUUGCCAUUCCUUUCUCCAGGAAAGCUCACCUAGAGUCCCUCUCUUUCCAGCAAUCCUUCCCUGAUCUAGAAGGCUCUUCAUUCACUCCUUAGGCUGUUUGCCACUUCUCAGAUAUUAUUGAUGAUUUUCUUUUUAUUUGCAUCCUGUCUUUAUCUGUAGGUCUUUUGAGGACAGAAUCUGUACCAGACUUUCAGAGAACAUUACUCCUACUUCAUGAAGCUCCACCAUGAGACGAGGUGGAUGGAGGAAGAGAGCUGAAGAUGACUGGGAAAAAUGGGGUGGGUAUAUGGCCGCCAAGGUCCAGAAAUUGGAGCAACAGUUUCGAUCAGAUGCUGCUAUCCAGAAGGACGGAACUUCAUCAACAAUUUUUAGUGGAGUCGCCAUCUAUGUUAAUGGAUAUACAGAUCCAUCUGCUGAGGAAUUGAGGAAGCUAAUGAUGUUGCAUGGAGGCCAGUAUCAUGUGUAUUAUUCCAGAUCCAAAACAACACACAUCAUUGCCACAAAUCUUCCUAAUGCCAAAAUCAAAGAGUUAAAGGGAGAAAAAGUAAUUCGACCAGAAUGGAUUGUGGAAAGCAUCAAAGCUGGACGACUCCUGUCCUGCAUUCCGUAUCAGCUAUACAGCAAGCAGUCCUCUGUACAGAAAAGUCUCAACUUUAAUCCUGUGUGCAAACCUGAGGAUCCCCUCCCCGGUCCCAGCAGCAUCACCAAGCAGCUCAACGACAGGGUAAAUCACAUAAUUAAGAAAAUUGAGACGGAAAGUGAAGUCAGAGUUAAUGGAGUGAACAACUGGAAUGAAGAAGCUGCAGAUAAUGACUUUGAUUUUGUGGGGCUGGAGCCUGUCUUCCCAGGAAGAAAACAGAACGGAAUUCCGCAUCCCAGAGGUGGCCGUGCCCUUUGUAAUGGGCACGCCCACAGCUCUCACGGUGCCUUAAAAAGCUUGGACUGCCUGGCGCCCCCUGGCAGCGGUGUUGCCAGCAGGCUGUCCCCAGAGCCCGCCCGGGAGGAGGCCGCGGGGGCCUUCAGAGACUGCACCGUGCAGCUGGCCCAGCAGAGCACCUGCGGCGCGGACGCUCUGCGGGAUCCACACAGAACUAAGCCCUUCCCCUCGCCGCCUUUGCACAGUAACCCUCGAGUCAACGGUGCUCACCACUCCACCGUUCAGGGGCCUUCAAGCACAAAGAGCACUUCGUCAGUACCUUCCCCAAGCAGGGCGGGGCCCUCGGGGCCGCCCAGACCCUCGGACUGCAACUUCAUCUCGGACUUCUACUCCCGGUCGAGACUGCACCACAUAUCCACGUGGAAGUGCGAACUGACUGAGUUUGUCAAUGCGCUGCAGAGGCAGAGUAGUGGUAUCUUCCCAGGAAGGGAAAAGUUAAAAAAAAUGAAAGCAGGCAGGUCCGCACUUGUUGUAGCUGACACAGGAAAUAUGUCAGUAUUGAGUUCACCCAGACAUCAGAGCUGUAUAAUGCAUGUUGAUAUGGAUUGCUUCUUUGUAUCAGUGGGUAUACGAAAUAGACCAGAUCUCAAAGGAAAACCAGUGGCUGUUACAAGUAACAGGGGCACCGGCAGGGCCCCUCUGCGUCCGGGCGCUAACCCUCAGUUGGAGUGGCAGUAUUAUCAGAAUAAGAUCCUGAGAGGCAAAGCAGCAGAAAUACCAGAUCCGUCAACGUGGGAGAGUCAAGAUUCUGCACAGAUAAAUGGAAUUGAUUCUGUUUUGUCAAAGGCUGAAAUCGCAUCUUGUAGUUAUGAAGCCAGACAAGUUGGCAUUAGGAAUGGAAUGUUUUUCGGGCAAGCCAAACAGCUCUGUCCCAGUCUCCAGGCGGUCCCUUACGACUUCCACGCGUAUAAGGAGGUUGCACGGACGAUGUACGAGACGCUGGCCAGCUACACACACAACAUCGAAGCCGUCAGCUGUGAUGAAGCCCUGGUAGACAUCACCGAGAUCCUCGCUGAGACCAGACUCACGCCUGACGAGUUUGCGAACGCUGUCCGCAUGGAAAUUAAGGACCAGACUAAAUGUGCUGCCUCUGUGGGGAUCGGUUCUAAUAUUCUGCUGGCUAGAAUGGCAACUAGAAAAGCAAAGCCGGAUGGCCAGUACCACUUAAAACCAGAAGAGGUAGACGAUUUCAUCAGAGGCCAGCUAGUCACUAACCUACCAGGAGUUGGGCGUUCAAUGGAGUCCAAGCUGAUGUCUCUGGGGAUCAGGACGUGCGGAGACCUGCAGUACCUGACCAUGGCGAAACUCCAGAAGGAAUUUGGCCCCAAGACCGGCCAGAUGCUUUACAGGUUCUGCCGAGGCUUGGACGACAGACCGGUUCGCACUGAGAAGGAAAGAAAGUCUGUUUCAGCUGAGAUCAACUAUGGAAUAAGGUUUUCCCAGCCAAAAGAAGCAGAAGCUUUUCUUCUGAAUCUUUCAGAAGAAAUUCAGCGGCGCCUUGAAGCUGUGGGCAUGAAGGGUAAACGCCUGACUCUCAAAGUCAUGGUGCGGAAGCCGGGGGCCCCUGUAGAAACGGCCAAAUAUGGAGGCCAUGGCAUCUGUGAUAUCACCACCAGGACUGUGACUCUUGACCAGGCAACAGACAGUGCGAAACUCAUUGGCACGGCCACGCUGAACAUGUUUCACGCGAUGAAGCUCAGCAUAGCUGACAUGCGAGGGGUUGGGAUUCAUGUGAAUCAGUUGGUUCCAGCGAAUCCAAACCCGCCUGCGUGCCUCAGCCGCCCAGCAGCCCAGCCCAGCCACGGUGCGGGCGGGGCCCCGUCUGUCCUGGAACUCCUGCAGGCCCAGAGGGCGAGGCAGCCCCCGGAAGAGGAGCCCGCAGGAGUAUUUCUGGCUGCGGUGGAUCUGGAAAUGCCACCUGCCCCUCGAUCUGGCACUGUGCCCUCUCUGUCUCCACACCUGACGCCGGGUGUCGCGCCUGUCACUACCAGCAAAGCCGAGUGUGCCAGCAAGUGGAACGGGCUGCAUUCUCCUGUCAGCUUAAAGCCAAGACUCAACCUGAGCAUAGAGGUCCCAUCACCUUCCCAGCUCGAUCGCUCCGUCCUGGAGGCUCUCCCGCCCGACCUACGGGAGCAGGUGGAGCAGGCAUGUGCUGUGCAGCAGGCGGAGCCACCGGGCGACCGGAGGAGAGAGCCUGUCAACGGCUGCAGCGCAGGGAUCCUGCCCCAACCCGUGGGGACUGUGCUGCUACAAAUACCGGCACCUCAGGACCCUACCAGCGACACGGGCAUUAAUUUAAUAGCUCUUCCGGCGUUUUCCCAGGUGGACCCAGAGGUGUUUGCGGCUCUCCCUGUGGAGCUUCAGAAGGAGCUGAGAGCAGCCUACGAUCAGAGACAGCGUCAGGGAGAACACAGCCCUCCCCAGCAGCCGGCCGGCGCCCCCGUGCCAAAGAACCCGUUACUGCAGCUAAAACCAGCAGCGGUGAAAGACAAGAAACGAAACAAGAAAAAAAGUCCCCUCAGCCCCCAAAGAAAGAGUCAGAGCCCUCUGAAAACCACACUGGUGAACAGCCCGGCAAAGACCCUGCCAGGGGCCUGCACAAGCCCCCAGAAGCUCAUUGAUGGGUUUCUAAAACACGAAGGUCCCACGUCAGAGAAACCUCUGGGAGAACUCUCUGCUUCCACUUCAGGUGUUGCUGGCCUUUGUGGGUUGCAGCCUGACGUGUCCACAAGUGUCAGGCCCCCGGCGCCCAACCUGGCUGGAGCCGUGGAGUUCAGUGACGUGAAGACCCUGCUCAGAGAGUGGAUCACCACCAUCUCAGAUCCGAUGGAGGAAGACAUUCUGCAAGUUGUAAAAUACUGCACUGAUCUAAUAGAGGAGAAGGAUUUGGAAAAAUUGGACCUCGUUAUAAAAUACAUGAAAAGGCUGAUGCAGCAAUCAGUGGAGUCGGUUUGGAAUAUGGCGUUUGACUUCAUUCUCGACAAUGUUCAGGUGGUUUUACAGCAAACGUACGGAAGCACAUUAAAAGUCACGUGAAGGUGAAUCACCAGGGAGCCUGGCGCUCUCCACUAGCUGUGCCAUAAGUGCUUGUGAGGUAUUUGCAAAGUGCAUGAUAGUAAUGCUCUGAGUUUUAUAAUUUUAAAUUUCUUUUUAAGCGAAGUGUUUUGUACAUUUCUUUUCAGUAAGUGCCAAAUUUGUCAGUAUUGCAUGUAAAUAAUUGUGUUCUUUUACUGUAGCAUAGAUUCUAUUUACAAAAUGUUUGUUUAUAAAGUUUUAUGGAUUUUUACAGUGAAGUGUUUACAGUUGUUUAAUAAAGAACUGUAUGUAUAUUUUGU